rnacentral:lncRNA from 1 species
UUUUAACUUCUGCCCUCUAGAACCGUAAGGUAAUAAAUUUGUGUUGUUUUCAGCCACCAAGUGUGUUACAAACUGUUGCAACCACAACAGGAAACCAAGACAGCCUCUCUCAUAAAGGCAAGCGGUAGCAGAAGGGCUAAAGGUCGCAAAUCUAGUGUGGUUUUGUGGAAUGUUUGUCAAAUAUUAUGUCUCACCUUUGGUCUUCAGACAAAACUCUUCAAUAACAGGAAAAGCCUCAUUGGAUUCUGUUUUAUUAGGCAGAAGGAGGUUCUUGGAAGGACAGCAUUAAGAAGUUCAUAGAAUUAAUGAACCACUAUAAAACCAGGCCGGGUUACAGAGAGAACUAAGAAAGCUGCAGAGCUCAAAAAAACAGGAAGAUUGUGCUCACAGAGAGCCCACUUAGGUGAAUGUAUCCCACCUUCUAAAUCUACCCAACUGGAGGGCAGGGAUGCAAGUCUUCUGUUAUCCACGGUGGGAGCCAGGCACCUGGAUUCACUAUCACACCAAGACCUGAUGGAAGGAAGGCAUGGGGAUGGAUGCUGAGUGCCCAAACACUGACUUUGAAGCGAUGACACAUUGCUUGCUAGGGCUGGAUUUCACACUGAAGAAUGACAGCAGAAGCCUUGCCUCACAAAAGGCACCAAACAGACCUUCCUACCUGCCCACGUUUUCCGUCUCGCUUGACAGCACCAGGUACUCCCGAGUCACGGUAUAUGUUUCUUGGAUACUUUAGUUGGAAACUGAGACAUCACAGGCUGCUAGGACUUAUCCUUCCUAAGACACCCAUUGAAUUAGGACAUCUCAGCUCUCAUUCCAAAUACCCCAGGCCAAGGUUUUCUCAACCUCAGCACAACCAACAUUUGGAGUUGGAUAGUUCCAGCUGUAACAACCAAAACUGUCUCCAGACAUUGCUAAUGUCUCCUGAGGUGAGGGCAAAAUGGCCCCCAGUUGAGAACCUCUGGCUUAGGCAAAUUUAUUAAUUAUAUACCUCAGUGAUAUGGUGGGGCGUGCAACAAUUUACCUCUAACCUUUCAGGGUUUUUCAGCUGGGCCUGAAAAUAAAAUUGACGUAAGACAGAUCAACAGGGAAAAAGCAUGCAAAUUUAUUUAAUACAAGCUUUAUAUUGCACAGGAACCUUUGUGUGAAGACACGAAGUUGCAGUAAGAGACAAACGUACACCAAAAUAAACAGAGUAGCAAAUUAUAAAACUGUGACAAUGCAAAGGGCUUGGGCUUGGGCUGGAGUAGUCAGUUGGGUAGAGCAGUGGCUAGGAGGAUAAAAUUAGCCAAAAACGGUUUGCUCAGAUUUCCCUCAGCCUCAACUUCUCAUCCUUGAUGGUAAGAAUGAUGCUUUCAUUCUAACAUAGGGAGGACAUCUUUCGCCUGGGAGUUUCAUCUCCUGCUUUUAAGAAACAGAAGGAUGGUCAGAGUGAUCUCGCACCUGUUGUUUUUCAAACGCCUUUGACUCAAAAUAAUCAAUUUGCCAGAGUGGCAUAUUUUUAACCUCUUCAGUAUCCUUAUGUGGCUUCACAGCUGUUCAAAGUUGUUAUUUCAUAACCCAACAGGCUGGACAAUUCACCUGCUGAUUAAAGUUAACAUAUUCUUCAUGGCACUCUGGGUCAUAAAAGGGAAUUAAAGUUGUGAUGGGAUGCAUGAGACCAGGAGGAUGACUCUGAUUCAGUCCCCUAAGAUGGAACUAAGAGAAGCAGUCCAUAAGUCUUGGGGGAAUUCUCUCUCUACCAUUGUGUAUCUGACGUAUUGUUUUAACAGCCAUGUAAAAUUGGAUCUGACUCUACUUACUCCAGAAAUAAUAUUUGUUGAUCACAGGGCACUACACAAUGAUUCAUGGUACAGACAAUCUGGUUGUCAUAUUUUCAUGUUUGCCAGACACUGUUGCUUCAAACCACUUGUACCCUUGAUAAAUGAAAGUGUGUGUGAAUCUCCCAAAAGUAUGUUAAAUAAACAC